rnacentral:rRNA from 1 species
UACGUAGGUGGCAAGCGUUGUCCGGAUUUACUGGGCGUAAAGAGCGCGCAGGCGGUCGUUCAAGUCGCGUGUGAAAGCCCCCGGCUCAACUGGGGAGGGUCACGCGAUACUGAUCGACUCGAAGGCAGGAGAGGGUAGUGGAAUUCCCGGUGUAGUGGUGAAAUGCGUAGAUAUCGGGAGGAACACCAGUGGCGAAGGCGACUACCUGGCCUGUUCUUGACGCUGAGGCGCGAAAGCUAGGGGAGCAACGGG